rnacentral:rRNA from 1 species
CCUACGGGUGGCAGCAGUAGGGAAUCUUCCACAAUGGGCGAAAGCCUGAUGGAGCAACGCCGCGUGGGUGAAGAAUGUCUUCGGAUCGUAAAACUCUGUUGUUAGAGAAGAAAGUGCGUGAGAGUAACUGUUCACGUUUCGACGGUAUCUAACCAGAAAGCCACGGCUAACUACGUGCCAGCAGCCGCGGUAAUACGUAGGUGGCAAGCGUUAUCCGGAUUUAUUGGGCGUAAAGGGAACGCAGGCGGUCUUUUAAGUCUGAUGUGAAAGCCUUCGGCUUAACCGGAGUAGUGCAUUGGAAACUGGGAGACUUGAGUGCAGUAGAGGAGAGUGGAACUCCAUGUGUAGCGGUGAAAUGCGUAGAUAUAUGGAAGAACACCAGUGGCGAAAGCGGCUCUCUGGUCUGUAACUGACGCUGAGGUUCGAAAGCGUGGGUAGCAAACAGGAUUAGAUACCCCGGUAGUC